rnacentral:rRNA from 1 species
GACGAACGCUGGCGGUGUGCUUCACACAUGCAAGUCGAACGAGGUAGCAAUACCUAGUGGCGGACGGGUGAGUAAACGCGUGGGAAUCUGCCUUUAGAUGGGGGAUAACGGGUCGAAAGACUCGCUAAUACCGCAUAUGACGAAAGUUGAAAGGAGUAAUCCGUCUAAAGAUGAGCCCGCGUCCGAUUAGCUAGUUGGUAGAGUAAAAGCCUACCAAGGCGACGAUCGGUAGCUGGUCUGAGAGGAUGAUCAGCCACAAUGGGACUAGAGACACGGCCCAUACUCCUACGGGAGGCAGCAGUGGGAAUUUUACGCAAUGGGCGAAAGCCUGACGUAGCGACACCGCGUGAGCGAAGAAGCCCC